rnacentral:rRNA from 1 species
AACGAACGCUGGCGGCAUGCCUAACACAUGCAAGUCGAACGAGACCUUCGGGUCUAGUUGCGCACGUGUGCGUAACGCGUGGGAACCUGCCCUUAGGUUCGGAAUACCUCCCCGUAAGGGGUGCUAAUACCGGAUAAUGUCUUCGGACCAAAGAUUUAUCGCCUUUGGAUGGGGCCGCGUUGGAUUAGCUAGUUGGUAGGGUAAAAGCCUACCAAGGCGACGAUCCAUAGCUGGUCUGAGAGGAGGAUCAGCCACGCUGGGCCUGAGACACGGCCCAGACUGCUACGGGAGGCAGCAGUGGGGAGUAUUGGACAAUGAGCGAAAGCGUAAUACAGCAAUGCCGCGUGAGUGAGGAAGGCCUUAGGGUUGUAAAGCUCGUUUACCCGGGAUGAUAAUGACAGUACCGGGAGAAUAAGCACCGGCUAACUCCGUG